CCUACGGGGGGCAGCAGUGGGGGAUAUUGCACAAUGGGGGGAACCCUGAUGCAGCGACGCCGCGUGAGCGAAGAAGUACCUCGGUAUGUAAAGCUCUAUCAGCAGGGAAGAAAAUGACGGUACCUGACUAAGAAGCACCGGCUAAAUACGUGCCAGCAGCCGCGGUAAUACGUAUGGGGCAAGCGUUAUCCGGAUUUAUUGGGUUUAACGGUUGCGGAGGCGGAUUGCAAAGUCAGCGGUACAAUCGCGGGGAUCAACCUCGCUCCGCCGUUGAAACUGGCGUGCUGGAGUGGGCGAGAAGUAUGCGGAAUGCGUGGUGUAGCGGUGAAAUGCGUAGAUAUCACGCAGAACUCCGAUUGCGAAGGCAGCAAACCGGCGCCCAACUGACGCUGAAGAACGAAAGCGUGGGUAUCGAACAGGAGUAGAUACCCGAGUAGUC
rnacentral:rRNA from 1 species